ACUUUAUGAUUAGGUCAUUGCAUGAGCUUGUCAUUAAACCUUUCCCAUGCUUCAUACAAAGGCUCCCCAUUGAGGUGGAAAAAAAAUUUAAUUUCACAAUUGUAACA
rfam:Capsicum annuum cultivar Zunla-1 chromosome 6, whole genome shotgun sequence